rnacentral:rRNA from 1 species
UCAUAUGCUUGUCUCAAAGAUUAAGCCAUGCAUGUCUAAGUACAUGCCUAACUAAGGUGAAACCGCGAAUGGCUCAUUACAUCAGUUGUGGUUCCUUGGACGUGUCCCUUUUACUUGGAUAACUGUGGUAAUUCUAGAGCUAAUACAUGCAGCAAAGCUCCGACCUCACGGGACGAGCGCAUUUAUUAGGCCAAAACCAAUCGGGCUCUUUGGGCCCGUAAACCAUGGCGACUCUGGAUAACCUUGGGCUGAUCGCACAGUCAUGAACUGGCGACGCAUCCUUCAAGUGUCUGCCUUAUCAACUUUCGAUGGUAGGUUAUGCGCCUACCAUGGUUGUAACGGGUGACGGGGAAUCAGGGUUCGAUUCCGGAGAGGGAGCCUGAGAAACGGCUACCACAUCCAAGGAAGGCAGCAGGCGCGCAAAUUACCCACUCCCGGCACGGGGAGGUAGUGACGAAAAAUAACAAUACGGGACUCUUUCGAGGCCUCGUAAUUGGAAUGGGUACAGUCUAAACCUUUUAACGAGUAUCUAUUGGAGGGCAAGUCUGGUGCCAGCAGCCGCGGUAAUU